rnacentral:rRNA from 1 species
AUUGAACGCUGGCGGCAUGCCUUACACAUGCAAGUCGAACGGUAACAGGUUAAGCUGACGAGUGGCGAACGGGUGAGUAAUGUAUCGGAACGUGCCCAGUCGUGGGGGAUAACUGCUCGAAAGAGCAGCUAAUACCGCAUACGACCUGAGGGUGAAAGCGGGGGAUCGCAAGACCUCGCGCGAUUGGAGCGGCCGAUAUCAGAUUAGGUAGUUGGUGAGGUAAAGGCUCACCAAGCCGACGAUCUGUAGCUGGUCUGAGAGGACGACCAGCCACACUGGGACUGAGACACGGCCCAGACUCCUACGGGAGGCGGCAGUGGGGAAUUUUGGACGAGGGGCGCAAGCCUGAUCCAGCCAUGCCGCGUGCGGGAAGAAGGCCUUCGGGUUGUAAACCGCUUUUGUCAGGGAAGAAAAGGUUCUGGCUAAUACCUGGGACUCAUGACGGUACCUGAAGAAUAAGCACCGGCUAACUACG